UUGAACGCUGGCGGCAGGCCUAACACAUGCAAGUCGAGCGGUAGCACAGAGAGCUUGCUCUCGGGUGACGAGCGGCGGACGGGUGAGUAAUGUCUGGGAAACUGCCUGAUGGAGGGGGAUAACUACUGGAAACGGUAGCUAAUACCGCAUAACGUCGCAAGACCAAAGUGGGGGACCUUCGGGCCUCAUGCCAUCAGAUGUGCCCAGAUGGGAUUAGCUAGUAGGUGGGGUAACGGCUCACCUAGGCGACGAUCCCUAGCUGGUCUGAGAGGAUGACCAGCCACACUGGAACUGAGACACGGUCCAGACUCCUACGGGAGGCAGCAGUGGGGAAUAUUGCACAAUGGGCGCAAGCCUGAUGCAGCCAUGCCGCGUGUGUGAAGAAGGCCUUCGGGUUGUAAAGCACUUUCAGCGGGGAGGAAGGCGAUAAGGUUAAUAACCUUGUCGAUUGACGUUACCCGCAGAAGAAGCACCGGCUAACUCCGUGCCAGCAGCCGCGGUAAUACGGAGGGUGCAAGCGUUAAUCGGAAUUACUGGGCGUAAAGCGCACGCAGGCGGUCUGUCAAGUCGGAUGUGAAAUCCCCGGGCUCAACCUGGGAACUGCAUUCGAAACUGGCAGGCUAGAGUCUUGUAGAGGGGGGUAGAAUUCCAGGUGUAGCGGUGAAAUGCGUAGAGAUCUGGAGGAAUACCGGUGGCGAAGGCGGCCCCCUGGACAAAGACUGACGCUCAGGUGCGAAAGCGUGGGGAGCAAACAGGAUUAGAUACCCUGGUAGUCCACGCCGUAAACGAUGUCGAUUUGGAGGUUGUGCCCUUGAGGCGUGGCUUCCGGAGCUAACGCGUUAAAUCGACCGCCUGGGGAGUACGGCCGCAAGGUUAAAACUCAAAUGAAUUGACGGGGGCCCGCACAAGCGGUGGAGCAUGUGGUUUAAUUCGAUGCAACGCGAAGAACCUUACCUGGUCUUGACAUCCACAGAACUUUCCAGAGAUGGAUUGGUGCCUUCGGGAACUGUGAGACAGGUGCUGCAUGGCUGUCGUCAGCUCGUGUUGUGAAAUGUUGGGUUAAGUCCCGCAACGAGCGCAACCCUUAUCCUUUGUUGCCAGCGGUUAGGCCGGGAACUCAAAGGAGACUGCCAGUGAUAAACUGGAGGAAGGUGGGGAUGACGUCAAGUCAUCAUGGCCCUUACGACCAGGGCUACACACGUGCUACAAUGGCAUAUACAAAGAGAAGCGACCUCGCGAGAGCAAGCGGACCUCAUAAAGUAUGUCGUAGUCCGGAUUGGAGUCUGCAACUCGACUCCAUGAAGUCGGAAUCGCUAGUAAUCGUAGAUCAGAAUGCUACGGUGAAUACGUUCCCGGGCCUUGUACACACCGCCCGUCACACCAUGGGAGUGGGUUGCAAAAGAAGUAGGUAGCUUAACCCUCGGGAGGGCGCUUACCACUUUGUGAUUCAUGACUGGGGUG
rnacentral:rRNA from 1 species